UACGUAGGGUGCGAGCGUUGUCCGGAAUUAUUGGGCGUAAAGAGCUCGUAGGCGGUCUGUCGCGUCUGGUGUGAAAACUCAGGGCUUAACCCUGAGCUUGCAUCGGGUACGGGCAGACUAGAGUGCGGUAGGGGAGACUGGAAUUCCUGGUGUAGCGGUGAAAUGCGCAGAUAUCAGGGAGGGAACACCGGUGGGCGAAAGGCGGGUCUCUGGGCCGUAACUGACGCUGGAGGAGCGGAAAAGCAUGGGGAGCGAACAGG
rnacentral:rRNA from 1 species